ACGAACGCUGGCGGCGUGCCUCAUACAUGCAAGUUGAGCGAUGAAGAUUGGUGCUUGCACCAAUUUGAAGAGCAGCGAACGGGUGAGUAACGCGUGGGGAAUCUGCCUUUGAGCGGGGGACAACAUUUGGAAACGAAUGCUAAUACCGCAUAACAACUUUAAACAUAAGUUUUAAGUUUGAAAGAUGCAAUUGCAUCACUCAAAGAUGAUCCCGCGUUGUAUUAGCUAGUUGGUGAGGUAAAGGCUCGCCAAGGCGAUGAUACAUAGCCGACCUGAGAGGGUGAUCGGCCACAUUGGGACUGAGACACGGCCCAAACUCCUACGGGAGGCAGCAGUAGGGAAUCUUCGGCAAUGGACGAAAGUCUGACCGAGCAACGCCGCGUGAGUGAAGAAGGUUUUCGGAUCGUAAAACUCUGUUGGUAGAGAAGAACGUUGGUGAGAGUGGAAAGCUCAUCAAGUGACGGUAACUACCCAGAAAGGGACGGCUAACUACGUG
rnacentral:rRNA from 1 species